AUUGAACGCUGGCGGCAGGCCUAACACAUGCAAGUCGAACGAGUGGCGGACGGGUGAGUAAUAUCUGGGAAACUGCCUGAGGGAGGGGGAUAACUACUGGAAACUGUAGCUAAUACCGCAUACCAUCGGAUGUGCCCAGAUGGGAUUAGCUAGUAGAUGGGGUAACGGCUCACCUAGGCGACGAUCCCUAUCUGGUCUGAGAGGAUGACCAGCCAAAAUGGAACUGAGACACGGGCCAGACUCCUACGGGAGGCAGCAGUGGGGAAUAUUUCACAAUGGGCGCAAGCCUGAUGCAGCCAUGCCGCGUGUAUGAAGAAGGCCUUCGGGUUGUAAAGUACUUUCAGCGGGGAGGCGUUACCCGCAGAAGAAGCACCGGCUAACUCCGUGCCAGCAGACGCGGUAAUAC
rnacentral:rRNA from 1 species